UACGUAGGCAGCGAGCGUUGUUCGGAGUUACUGGGCGUAAAGGGUGCGUAGGCGGCUUUUUAAGUCUGGUGUGAAAUCUCCCGGCUCAACUGGGAGGGUGCGCCGGAUACUGAGGGGCUAGAGUGUGGGAGAGGAAAGUGGAAUUCCUGGUGUAGCGGUGAAAUGCGUAGAUAUCAGGAGGAACACCGGUGGUGUAAACGGCUUUCUGGACUAUAACUGACGCUGAGGCACGAAAGCGUGGGUAGCAAACAGG
rnacentral:rRNA from 1 species